rnacentral:rRNA from 1 species
AACGAACGCUGGCGGCAUGCCUAACACAUGCAAGUCGAACGAGACCUUCGGGUCUAGUGGCGCACGGGUGCGUAACGCGUGGGAACCUGCCCUUAGGUUCGGCAUAACUCCCCGAAAGGGGUGCUAAUACCGGAUAAUGUCUUCGGACCAAAGAUUUAUCGCCUUUGGAUGGGCCCGUGUUGGAUUAGCUAGUUGGUAGGGUAAAAGCCUACCAAGGCGACGAUCCAUAGCUGGUCUGAGAGGAUGAGCAGCCACACUGGGACUGAGACACGGCCCAGACUCCUACGGGAGGCAGCAGUGGGGAAUAUUGGACAAUGGGCGGAAGCCUGAUCCAGCAAUGCCGCGUGAGUGAUGAAGGCCUUAGGGUUGUAAAGCUCUUUUACCCGGGAGGAUAAUGACAGUACCGGGAGAAUAAGCUCCGGCUAACUCCGUG